GGUAAUCACGUGCGGGGAGGGGGGGUAAGAGGUAGGGGGGGAGGGUUAGUCGGAAUUAGUGGGCGGAAAGGGCUCGUAGGCGGGUUGUCGCGUCUGUCGUGAAAGUCCGGGGCUUAACCCCGGAGCUGCGGUGGGUACGGGCAGACUAGAGUGCAGUAGGGGAGACUGGAAUUCCUGGUGUAGCGGUGGAAUGCGCAGAUAUCAGGAGGAACACCGAUGGCGAAGGCAGGUCUCUGGGCUGUAACUGAUGCUGAGGAGCGAAAGCAUGGGGAGCGAACAGGAUUAGAUACCCGUGUAGUC
rnacentral:rRNA from 1 species